rnacentral:rRNA from 1 species
AUCUACGGCCAUGCCGCCCUGAACAAGCCCGAUGACGGAUCUUGGAAAAAAAGCAGGGUCAGGCUUGGUUAGUACUUGGAUGGGAGACCACCUAGGAAGACCAGGUGCUAUAGGCG